UUGUAUUGCUACAUCCAUAACAACGGCUUUCCUCUGUUGUUUAUCCACUACAACAACGUCUGGUUGGUUGGCCCUUACCAUUUUGUCUGUCUGGAUCUGGAAGUCCCACAGGAUCUCAGCUCCAUCAUUCUCCAACACAAUGUGCUCAGUGAAUGUCUCAAACAAUGGAGAACAGAAACUGAGGUGGUGGAGGUACCAUCAUGGGAGGACAAGCCCCUAUAUGGGAUUUACCACCAGCAAAUAACCUAGUGGCUGAUAUCAGAACGUUCUACCAAUGGCUGGAAAAAGCUGGACUCAAGGACAGCACAGAGGACCUCAUCAUGUCCCUAAACACCAGAGCAAUUGAUGUACCACACCAGACAAGACUCAAGGUGCAGGUUGUGCCAGGAGGCCCCUGAAACAGUCCAGCACAUCACAGCAGGGUGCAACAUACUGGCAGGGAAAGAGUUCAUGGAACGACAGAACCAGGUGGCAGGCAGAGUGUACAGAAACAUCUGUCAAUAGUUAAACUUUUUUAACUUAAAUCUUUCCUUCUGUCUCUUGAUGUUUUCAAGUUUACCAAGUUAGUGGAUCCUAACUUACCAACAACAUGUACUAAAAUGUUUCAGCUCAAAGUUUGUUUCUGUUUUCUCAUCAGUUUUUGCUGCUCUUGUUAAAAACAGAUAUUGAAACAUUGGUGUGUCUCCUGGAGGUCAAAGCGCUGUGAGUGUUUCUGAAGGCGGCUGGGAGGAGGAAGGGGAGGAGCUAAAGUAGAGAGCAGAUCGUAAGUUAUGCAGCGAACUGACUGCAGACUGCAGUCUGUCGACAGGAGGCUCAGACAGCGAGGAACAGAACCACUGAACACAGAGACGGAUUCCCGGCGGUGAACCUGCUGGAACAUGUUGAAUAGUUUCUCCGUUUCUAUUAAUCAUUAGAUGAAAUAAUGAAGAGAGAAACUCUACAACGUCUCCUCUCUGUGUGACAGAGGAGAGGCUGCAGAGCACCAACAACCCACUGCUGACAUCACAAACCCACCGGUCAAAGGUCACCAGGAACACUGCAGUUACUCACCUGCAUGUAGUUUAUAUCCUACAAGUUUAAUUCUUUUCAUGUAACUGAAAAUGUUGCAUGAAAACAUAAAAAUAAAAAUGUUUUUCUCGGCACAGAGAAACAGUUGGAGUUGAAAAUGAAAAUGAACAGAUUUCUAUUAGAAAUAUCAUUUUAUUAUUUACUGCUGGACUGAUUACAUUAACAUGUUAUUGGUAGAAACUGAUGAGGUAAACAUGUUCACUAAAGGGUUAUUCAUCUUGUUCACUAAACAUUGAAAUGUUCUAAAUCUUUUGUAUCUUGAACGUUUCCUUCAGUCAGACUUCAUCCACAGUUACAUUGAACACACAUGAAAUGAAAACACAAAAUCAGAUUCAAUUAACUCGUUAUAUAAUGUUCAGCCUCAUAAAGAUGUUUUCAUAUAUUCCUAAUAAUGGACAUUAAAAUAUGUUCCCUGUAUUUUAACAUCAUUUUUGU